AUUGAACGCUAGCGGGAGGCCUAACACAUGCAAGUCGAACGGAGCGGCGAACGGGUGAGUAAUGCCUAGGAACGUGCCCGGUAGUGGGGGAUAACGUCGGGAAAGGGGCGCUAAUACCGCAUACUAUAGGAGGAGCCGAGGUCGGAUUAGCUAGUUGGUGGGGUAAAGGCCUACCAAGGCGACGAUCCGUAACUGGUCUGAGAGGAUGAUCAGUCACACUGGGACUGAGACACGGCCCAGACUCCUACGGGAGGCAGCAGUGGGGAAUAUUGGACAAUGGGGGAAACCCUGAUCCAGCCAUCCCGCGUGUGUGAUGAAGGUCUUCGGAUUGUAAAGCACUUUUGGUUGGAAAGCGUUACCAUCAGAAUAAGCACCGGCUAACUUCGUGCCAGCAGCCGCGGUAAUAC
rnacentral:rRNA from 1 species